rnacentral:SRP_RNA from 1 species
UUGUGCUAGGUGGGGAGCUAGCGGUGCCCUAUUCCCGAAAUCCGCUUAAUGCGGGGCUGAAUUCCCUCUAAAGGGUUUUUAUCCUGGACAUUUUAGAGUCAUCCUGACCGGCCGCUACGUAACAGACAAUCACGAACCUCGUCAGGUCCGGAAGGAAGCAGCGAUAAGUGAUACAGUCUGUGUCGUGGAUUGAUCCCGGUCAAGUUUUGACUUAAAUGUUUCAGAAAAAUAUUCGAUAGAGGGUGCACAA